rnacentral:rRNA from 1 species
CUGAUGCGUUGUUGGGUAGGGGAGCGUUCUGUAAGCCUGUGAAGGUGGCCUGUGAGGGUUGCUGGAGGUAUCAGAAGUGCGAAUGCUGACAUAAGUAACGAUAAAGCGGGUGAAAAGCCCGCUCGCCGGAAGACCAAGGGUUCCUGUCCAACGUUAAUCGGGGCAGGGUGAGUCGACCCCUAAGGCGAGGCCGAAAGGCGUAGUCGAUGGGAAACGGGUUAAUAUUCCCGUACUUGGUGUUACUGCGAAGGGGGGACGGAGAAGGCUAUGUUGGCCGGGCGACGGUUGUCCCGGUUUAAGCGUGUAGGUGUGUGUUCCAGGUAAAUCCGGUUCACUUUAACACUGAGGCGUGAUGACGAGGCACUACGGUGCUGAAGCAACAAAUGCCCUGCUUCCAGGAAAAGCCUCUAAGCAUCAGGUAACAUCAAAUCGUACCCCAAACCGACACAGGUGGUCAGGUAGAGAAUACCAAGGCGCUUGAGAGAACUCGGGUGAAGGAACUAGGCAAAAUGGUGCCGUAACUUCGGGAGAAGGCACGCUGACACGUAGGUGAAGUGAUUUACUCAUGGAGCUGAAGUCAGUCGAAGAUACCAGCUGGCUGCAACUGUUUAUUAAAAACACAGCACUGUGCAAACACGAAAGUGGACGUAUACGGUGUGACGCCUGCCCGGUGCCGGAAGGUUAAUUGAUGGGGUCAGCGCAAGCGAAGCUCCUGAUCGAAGCCCCGGUAAACGGCGGCCGUAACUAUAACGGUCCUAAGGUAGCGAAAUUCCUUGUCGGGUAAGUUCCGACCUGCACGAAUGGCGUAAUGAUGGCCAGGCUGUCUCCACCCGAGACUCAGUGAAAUUGAACUCGCUGUGAAGAUGCAGUGUACCCGCGGCAAGACGGAAAGACCCCGUGAACCUUUACUAUAGCUUGACACUGAACAUUGAGCCUUGAUGUGUAGGAUAGGUGGGAGGCUUUGAAGUGUGGACGCCAGUCUGCAUGGAGCCGACCUUGAAAUACCACCCUUUAAUGUUUGAUGUUCUAACGUGGACCCGUAAUCCGGGUUGCGGACAGUGUCUGGUGGGUAGUUUGACUGGGGCGGUCUCCUCCUAAAGAGUAACGGAGGAGCACGAAGGUUGGCUAAUCCUGGUCGGACAUCAGGAGGUUAGUGCAAUGGCAUAAGCCAGCUUGACUGCGAGCGUGACGGCGCGAGCAGGUGCGAAAGCAGGUCAUAGUGAUCCGGUGGUUCUGAAUGGAAGGGCCAUCGCUCAACGGAUAAAAGGUACUCCGGGGAUAACAGGCUGAUACCGCCCAAGAGUUCAUAUCGACGGCGGUGUUUGGCACCUCGAUGUCGGCUCAUCACAUCCUGGGGCUGAAGUAGGUCCCAAGGGUAUGGCUGUUCGCCAUUUAAAGUGGUACGCGAGCUGGGUUUAGAACGUCGUGAGACAGUUCGGUCCCUAUCUGCCGUGGGCGCUGGAGAACUGAGGGGGGCUGCUCCUAGUACGAGAGGACCGGAGUGGACGCAUCACUGGUGUUCGGGUUGUCAUGCCAAUGGCACUGCCCGGUAGCUAAAUGCGGAAGAGAUAAGUGCUGAAAGCAUCUAAGCACGAAACUUGCCCCGAGAUGAGUUCUCCCUGAGACUUUA